UCAUCCUAUCUUGUAAACUUUUAAUGUUUUUUAAAUUUGAAAGCCCUUUUCUCAAAAAAAAAAAACAAAAGAUAGUGAAAUCAAUAAAUAAGAAUAUGUUUAUUACUUUGAUCAAGGUUGUUACUGAAAGAAACUUAUGUUGGUAGAAAAUAAAAACAUUUUUUAAAAAAUCCUAACAUAAUAAAAUACUUAUUUAGUUAUUUUAAAAUAUUUAAUCUCUAAAAUAAUUUAAAUAUUUUUCUGAACUAUCUAAAAUAUUCAAAUUAUUAAAAUUUAAAUAGAAUUCUCCAUAUCGGUAUUGGCCAACCAAACUUCUCAUCCUAUUUUUAUCAGAUUCUUUUGAAGAUUGAUACCUUCUUGUUCCAUAUUUAUAAAUUCUAAUCAUCAUAUUUUAAAAUUGAUAUAAUCCUUAAAAAUAAAUUAAAAUAUGUAUUUUUAAUAUAAACUAAUUUUGAAAAUAUGUUAUUUAAAUAAAAUGAUUUUCAAAAUUUAAAUUAUAAAUUUUAUUAAUAAAUAUAUUUUCAAAAAAAAAGUUUAUAUUUUAUUCCAAAAUUGAGAAGACAGUUUCCCAAAAUAGAGUAAUUUUUUUUAAAAAAUGGUCUGAAUUCUGAAUCCUAAACUUUAGAAACUUGUUAAUCCAAAUUAUUUUAUUUUCUUUACUCUGAAAGCUUAGCCUUUUUCAAUUUAGAUUUUUGUAAGAUUCUUUUAGUAAUCCAUUGAUAAUGCAUAAACCUAGGGGGAAGAACAAAACUUGGGUGAUAGAGGAACAGACUGUUGAUUCGGAUACGGACCACAUCUCCCACGUGGCCAUGACCAUCCUUUGCCUGGCUUUGCCACCUGGAUCCUAAUAAAGUGAGUUUGUGUUUUGUGUUUCUAGGACCACUUUUGUUGUGAUAUAUAUGAGCGAGCAUCGAUGCAUCCACAUAAACACAUUACAUAACACACACGGCGUUUAAUAUUCUCAUUAAUUAAUAUCACUCUUAUUAUUUCCUGAAAUAAUGAAAUUAUGAGUAUUGGUAAUAUAUAGCUAGCUAGGAAGGAUUAUGUUGAUAGUUUGUGACAUCUUUCUCCAAUAUGAGUUGAGGUUGUUAUGUUUAAGAUGAAUUUAGAGUGAAUUAGCCCAUAAUACCAUAAGAAGCCAUAAAUUAAGGAUAUACCUUGGACACCAUAAAUAUAUACCCAAUAGUGACCGGAGGUGAAGGCAAAAUACGGAUAAGCCCUUUCCUCAAUAUACGGUUUUGGUAGAGUAUGAUAUAUUUCAAGAUUUGGUUAGAUUUAUCAAAUAUUUCUGUAGAUUUUUUUUCUUUACCGAGGAGGUUAUAACUGUUCGUAUCCAGAGGAAAGCAAAUCUGAGCCGUCUACUAGCUGACACAAACGGCGCUCUGGAUUCCCUAUCCAACUAAAGAUCUUCCGCCUCUACAUACAGAAAAACGACCAUUAACUCCAACUCAGAACUUUGGUCUUUAAGCGUCAUAAAGAAGAAUCCAAAAGGCUAGGUGUUUCUUAGAUUGGCGGCUUCCGAUUUGGAAAGGUAUAGAUCAAAACUUAAAACUCUCCUCAGAUUCUUAAGGAGAGAGUUUCCAUCGUCGGUACCGAUUUCUUCAAUCAAAGAAGAUGGCCAAAAAACUUAAGGAGAGAGUUUCCAGAUUUGAGGCAUUUUUUAUAGAAAAGGUUGAUUUAAGAGAUGAGGAUUUCGAAUUUCGAAUUUCAAAAUUGAAAUCACAAAGACAUGCUCUAUAAUCUUUUUAAAUUUGAGUUUUCUGACACAA